rnacentral:rRNA from 1 species
CUCCUACGGGAGGCAGCAGUAAGGAAUAUUGGUCAAUGGACGCAAGUCUGAACCAGCCAGUGCCGCGUGGAGGAUGAAGGUCCUCUGGAUUGUAAACUUCUUUUUAAUUUGGGUAAGUAAACCCCCGAUUUCCUAUUGUGGUUGACGGUACCAGGACUCGAAUAAGCACCGGCUAACUCCGUCGCCAGCAGCCGCGGUAAUAC